UAUGUGACCCUCGUUCGCGGUUGCCCAACUUGAUCACUUUGUGAACUUUGGAAGCAUGCAACGUAGGAAAGAUAGUCAUAAGUUAGCCAUACGUUGCUGACUUGGACUUUUACGAUGUCUGCGAAUCUCCCUUAUGAGAUUAGCAAGUUUCAAGAACAUAUUCGCCUUCUAAAGAACAUCAAAAAAGACACAAGUAGAGCAUUCAAAGACCUGCACGAAUCCGGUCAGUAUUCUGACGAUGUUUUAUCGGCCUAUUUGCCAGAAGACCAAUAUCAAUUUUUGGACAGUGUGUGUGAAAAACCACCGACUAUUAUAGUCGUCGGUCAAACAUGCUUUUCUAAAGUGUGUGUUAUAAAUGAAUUGCUUGGAGAGCCAGUACUUCCAACUGUGGAAGACCUCGAAUGUGGCACUUCAUGGCGGAUGAUUCGGAUCAAGUAUGGCAAUAUUUCAAAUGUAAGUCUAGUUUUACCCGACAGUUUUGAACUGGCCGCCGCUCUAAAUGCCUACGAAGGUUGUUGGCAAUGUGUACCGAGGGAAGAUUUGGAAGUAACAGGGACAGAGAAAUCAGAUCCAGCUUUAGCUACUGCUGUAGCCGAGAUUUCUCUGAAUCAUCCACUUUUGAAAGCGGGAGCUCAGAUCGUGUGCUCUCCAAGCAAUGAUGAAGGCGAUGUAGAAAAUAUUUUCCGGGCUUGUUGUGAAGAUGUAUUACCUAUUCUUCUAUAUGCGAUAGAGUUUGAUACUCUUAGCGAAAAGGAUAAUGCAGAGUUGCUUCAAGUAAAGGCAUUGGCUCCAGAUUUACCAGUAUUUUUUGUCAAGUGCUGCAGAAAAGCACCUCAACUCACUGAAUCAAUGACUGAAUCAGAGCAGCAUGAAGCUGUCUAUGAAAUAACAGAAUCCAAAACAAAAAUCUAUGAACAGCUCUGUGAUAUAGGUUACUUAACACCAGAGUUAAGUGACAAGAAGGAUAAUCUACAUUUAGAUAAUAGUGAAGAUAAGUCCUCACUAAGAGCAAUUGUGGAUUCUGUUCGACCCAAGUCAACCAUGAUUGAAAACUUUUCAUUAUUUCCAUGUUUCUUACUCUUUGUUCGUCAAGUUUUACAAUAUCAUUUAGUGACAGCUUCGUCAGCUUUAAAUGAAGCUCAUUCUAGAGUGUUGUCGCUAUUUAUCACUACGGCAUUUGACAUGGCAAGGGACAUGAUCAUCACGCCAAGAAGAUUGGAGUACGCUAAGGAAAAAGAAGAAGAGUUGUUUAAAGCUCUCAUGGAAACUGCCAGUAGAAAACAAGACGAAAUCAAGGAAGUCAUACACAAUACGAUUACAACUCUAUCACCUCAAAUCCUAAAAGAAGUAGGGUUACUAGAAUUCAAAAACAUUGAUCUAACUAGUGAUGAAGAGCUUGUGAACCUCAAAGAUCUAGACAAUUGCAUAUCUCAAAUUCAAGAGCUUGUUAUGGGAAGGAUAAACAAGGCUGUUGCAGGAAAUUUAAUCAGCUCAGUGGAGUAUCUUCGAGAGAGUUUUGUCGGUACAUUACAAAGGUGCAUUGAUAGCCUUGAGAAGAUGGAUCUUGAGGGUUCUUGGGCAAAGGACGAUUCAUGUACUUCAGCUACUUCAGCUCUCAAACAUGUAAUAGAUGCUGCAUACCAAGUUGAAGUCACGGUAAGAGCUAGUUCUUCUCUUGCACGGCUUCUCUGGGAGAAAAUGAAGCAAGCUCUGCAGACUCUACCUGGCAAAGCACCACCAAAGGUUGAUAGUUCAUGGAAACAGAAAGUUGCUCAAGACAUGCUUACAAGCCUCAGCGAGACUAGACUAGCAAAGCAUAUAUGCUCACAGUUUAAGUUAAGAUUACAUAAAUCACAUGAAGCAUUUACGACUUCCAUAAGGGUUCUUGAAGCCAACCAUACAGGACGGCUAGAGAAAACAGAAGAACAACGUAUGCGAGUAAGGAAGUGUUUUGCACCCAAGGUGGCUCGUCUGGCAUUAGAGAGCUUGUCACUUAGAGAUGUAGUGCUGUAUGGUAUGCCACAGCUUGGUAGAGAAGUAGGGCGUGGUCAGUAUGGGGUGGUAUAUUCUUGUGAAAGAUGGGCAGGCCGUCACCCAUGUGCCAUUAAGUCUGUUGUUCCCCCAGAUGACAAGCAUUGGAAUGAUCUCGCUCUUGAGUUCUACUAUACCAGGUCUUUAGCUCGUCACGAUCGUUUAGUAUCCAUUAUCGGGUCUGUUAUUGACUACAGCUAUGGCGGUGGCUCUUCACCUGCAGUCUUACUAGUAAUGGACCGCUUACAGCGUGACUUGUACCAAGGAAUCAAGAGUGGCCUAAGUUAUCGUGCUCGUCUACAAGUAGCUGUGGAUGUGGUCGAGGGAAUACGAUUUCUACAUAGUCAAGGAUUGGUCCAUAGAGAUAUUAAGCUGAAAAAUGUUCUCCUUGAUUCAAGAAAUCGCGGCAAGAUAACAGAUCUUGGUUUCUGUAAACCGGAAGCCAUGAUGUCAGGCUCCAUCGUAGGCACACCUAUCCACAUGGCACCCGAACUGUUCUCUGGUCGCUAUGACAACAGUGUUGAUGUUUACGCCUUUGGCAUUUUAUUCUGGUAUAUAUGUGCGGGCACAGUACGGCUCCCCCUGGCCUUUGAACAGUGCGCAAGCAAAGACCAUCUAUGGAAUGCCGUACGCCGGGGGGUUCGGCCUGAGCGUCUGGCUCAUUUUGACGAUGAAUGCUGGUUUUUGAUGGAGUCGUGUUGGAGUGGUGAUUCUUUCCAACGACCUUUGCUAGGGAAUAUACACCCACAGUUGGUAGUUCUUCUUCGAAGACAGGAAGCGAAGAGCAGUUCAAUGGCGCGACAAAGAAGGAGUGAACAAAGAAAGGAGCCUAAAUAGAGUAAAUUUUGUAUAGUAUUUUGGACGUUUUUUCUUUUGUAAAUUGAUAAAAUCGCGUUACAAGUCGUUUUACAAUAUCGUUUCACAAUUUAUAUCAAAGCUUUUCAAGGAAUUGUUGGAAUUAUUCCACGACGCGAUAAGACUACAAUGUUAGUGAGAUACCUCUUAAUGAAACACGAUAAGUGUCUCUCUCCUGCGAAACGUCGGUCACAUGCCUUCAGGAACAUAGUUACACCAGUACAUUGCUUCUAAUGUGAAGAAUGUGCAACGUGCAGCGACGCCAUUUUGUACAGCAAAGCAUGAUGGGAGUUGGCCAUGACUGCUAAAAUGCGACUAUACAAAAAAAAAAUGCAAACUCAAAUCUCUUUUUUUUACAAAAUGGCCUGGUUGAACAUUUCAGUUUUCUUAUUGACCAUUAAAACUAUGUCACUUGGGGAAAAUUUACGGCGCUAAGUUAUUGAAAUGCGAUCCCGGAAGAGUCAAAAAUUAGAAGCAAAUGUGUCCAAGAGAUUCAGUAUGAUUACCGUCAAAGAUUUCUUUUUAGAUACAAAUCAUUGUGUGAAUUUUAUGGCAUCGCAUUUCACUGAAAAAAAGAUAAGACAAAACAAUUGAGACGCCCUGAAGCAGCAGUUUAAACACGCGGAGUAAUAUUAAAAUCGACAUUUUGUGACUUUAAGGAAAGAUGACUCGGACUUUGUACAGUUUUCACAGUAANGAUGAAUAUUUUUGUAAGCAAUCAGUGCACAUUGAAUUAGAAUUAUUUAAUUAAAAAUCUUGAUUGAUU
rnacentral:misc_RNA from 1 species